UAAGCGUGAUACUCGUCUGUUUUUAAGGUAACCGUCACAAUAAGAAAUGCUUAUGUUUUGAUUUUUUUUUUUUGUUACCUUUCAUACUUAUUCGUUCUGGUUUUCAGCGUAUAGGAUACCUUCAAAGCUGUCGGCCAAAAAUGGAGAGAUCCGUACCUGCCAACUGUCUCUUUUUGCGGAGGGUUUCCCCCAUGAAUGCUCCUACAAUGUAUGAUAGAAAUAUUGAAAGAGCAAAUUCGUCUACAAUUAUACAUUUUUUUGGCUGUAGGCUUGUAACAGUAUGAAGAAGCCAAACACAACAUUAAACUAUAUUUGAAGGCCCCUUUGGAGGUUUUGUAGGAUUAUGACAGCCAUCUUGCACGUAAAACCCUAUGGGCAGGUAUGAAGAUAUGGGAAAAUUUGAAUUAUCUUCGAUAUUCCGUAUAUCCCUUUCCACUUUUCGCUUCAAAAUAAUGUGAUUACUAGUAUAUACACGCUACGUUUUCUUCUUUGUACAUUUGUACACAAAUUAAUUAUUAUUUUUUCCAUAAUUAAUUCCAAAAGUGAAAAACAUUUUAUUUCAAUAACGAUUUACAUUUUUGUUUUCCAUUUUAUACAGAGAUUCAUUACAC
rnacentral:lncRNA from 1 species